rnacentral:rRNA from 1 species
UAAUACGUAGGGGGCAAGCGUUGUCCGGAUGUAUUGGGCGUAAAGAGCGUGUAGGCGGCCAGAUAGGUCCGUUGUGAAAACUCGAGGCUCAACCUCGAGACGCCGAUGGAAACCAUUUGGCUAGAGUCCGGAAGAGGAGAGUGGAAUUCCUGGUGUAGCGGUGAAAUGCGCAGAUAUCAGGAA